CUCAACAUCAUCAGUUCUUAGAGCUCUCUUGGAGUUCAUCUUCUUCAGAAGAUUUGUUAAGUUUUCUGGGAGGAUUUGCAGGAUAUCACUCUCAUUAUCCUCAUGGUUUGUGUUGUUGUCUCCAUUAGUGUGGGAUUUGUCAUGGAAGGCUGGCCAAAAGGAACGUAUGAUGGACUAGGUAUUCUGCUUAGUAUAUUCUUGGUAGUCGUUGUUACUGCAAUUAGUGAUUAUAGGCAUUCGUUGCAGUUCAGGGAUUUGGAUAAGGAGUACAAAAAAGUACUUAUCCAGGUCACAAGAGAUGGAUCCAGGCAAAAGGUUCCGAUUUAUAAUUGUUGUUGCGGUUCCAGAAGGACUGCCUCUGGCAGUGACAUUGAGUCUUGCAUUUGCAAUGAAAAAGCUAAUGGAUAAUAAGGCAUUGGUGAGACAUCUUUCCCCAUGUGAGACGAUGGGAUCAUCUACUUGCAUCUGCACAUAUAAGACAUGAACACUAACAACAAACCAAAUGGUAGUUAACAAGAUAUGGAUUUGUGAAAAAAUGAAAAAGGUAGAAACUGAUGCAAGUCGGGAUGCAAUAACUUUGACCAUACGUGAAAAUGAAAUGACAUUGCUGCUGCAGGCAAUAUUUCAUAAUACGGUAGCAGAGGUUGUUAAGGCAAAGGGCGGAAAGAAAUCUUUCCUUGGUACACCAACAGAAUCAGCAAUAUUAGAAUAUGGAUUGCUUCUUAGUGGUGAUAUUGACAAGCAAAGAAGGGGCUGUAAACUCCUGAAAUGCUCGAAUCUUGAAUGUAGGUGAAUACUCGAGCAUCACCAAUGGACAAGCUUGUGUGGCUACAGAACCACCACAUGAAGAACUAAUGAACAGACCUCUUGUUGGAAGGGAAGUGAGUUUGAUUUCCAAGACGAUGUGGAGAAAUAUAAUCGGACAAAGUAUCUUCCAACUAGCUAUACUUUUAGUUUCCAACUUCACGGGAAAGCAGAUUCUGAGGCUCGAAGGUUCAGAUGCUACCAUAGUUCUCAAUACUUUCAUUUUCAACAAUUUUGUUUUCUGUCAGGUUCGUAGGUGUCAUAACAUCCACUGUCGUUUUCCAAGUUAUCAUCGUUGAGUUCUUAGGCACGUUGGCAAGCACUACACCGCUCAACUGGAAACUAUGGCUACUCAGUGUUUUAAUUGGUGCUGCAAGCUUGAUAGUUGCAGUAAUAUUGAAGUUGAUACCUGUUGAACACAAGAAUAAGCAUCAUGAUGGUAAUAAUCUACUACCAAAUGGUCCAGAACUCGUCUAAGAGAAAGGAAGAUCAACCACCGCGAUAUGGAAUGACUCAUUUUCCUAUUCAAAGAUCAGCGCCCUGGCUCUGUGUUUUCACAUCGAGAAGUAAAAGGGACAAACAUAUGGUUUAAUUGGUCAAGGUUCGAGUGCGGUGAGAAAAGGAAAAGAAACAACCAAAUACAAAGAAAAUACAAGCUGAAGACUUUAAAUUCAGUCUCGAAAUUGCCCUUGCAUAUUGCCCUCGAGGUCCAACUAAACAUACAUUUCCUAUUUUUUUGCCACGAAACCAAUCUCGAACGUACAUACAUACAUAUAUCCACCAAUAUUUACCUUGUCCAUGAGAAAAAAUGUAAAGUUAAUACCACUAUAGUAAGCCAUUCAGGAGAAACCUUUCAGCAUGGAAGAUUCAUCAUUCGCGUAAAUGUGAUAUUGUUCGUGAUUUUCUUCCUCUCUUGUUGGUGAUGAUGAGCAUUGUGUACAGAAUAUCAUGUUUGGUGUAGCUCUGUUCUAUUAGUGUGUAGUCGGUCUAUAGUAGUGUGGUGUAGUCAUUUGUAUUUUGAUGUAAUGUUAGCAAUCUGCAGGUUACAACUAAUGUAAUGUCAUCGUGUUUUGCUUGUGGAAAAUUGUUAGUAAUCGUGUUAAUCUCUUGAUUGUAAUGGAAAAUCUCUUUGCAAUCUGCA